ensembl:miRNA
UAGUUCUUUUUCUCCCUUGAGGGCACUUUUCAGUUCCUGAGAUCAAUGUGGUCCCUACUGAGGAGACCAUGAGGAGCCC